GCUUAUCUCCCCCAAGAGUCACAUCGACGGGGAGGGUUUGGCACCUCGAUGUCGGCUCAUCGCAUCCUGGGGCUGUAGUCGGUCCCAAGGGUUGGGCUGUUCGCCCAUUAAAGCGGUACGCGAGCUGGGUUCAGAACGUCGUGAGACAGUUCGGUCCCUAUCCGUCGUGGGCGUAGGAAAUUUGAGAGGAGCUGUCCUUAGUACGAGAGGACCGGGAUGGACGCACCGCUGGUGUACCAGUUGUUCUGCCAAGGGCAUAGCUGGGUAGCUAUGUGCGGAAGGGAUAAGUGCUGAAAGCAUCUAAGCAUGAAGCCCCCCUCAAGAUGAGAUUUCCCAUAGCGUAAGCUAGUAAGAUCCCUGAAAGAUGAUCAGGUUGAUAGGUUCGAGGUGGAAGCAUGGUGACAUGUGGAGCUGACGAAUACUAAUAGAUCGAGGACUUAACCAUAUAAUAUGUAGCAAUGUUAUCUAGUUUUGAAGGAAUAUGCCUUCAUAGUUUGGUGAUGAUGGCAGAGAGGUCACACCCGUUCCCAUACCGAACACGGAAGUUAAGCUCUCUAGCGCCGAUGGUAGUUGGGACCUUGUCCCUGUGAGAGUAGGACGUCGCCAAGCUAUUUAUAUCAUCGCGGGGUGGAGCAGUACGGUAGCUCGUCGGGCUCAUAACCCGAAGGUCGCAGGUUCAAAUCCUGUCCCCGCAACCAAAUGGUCCCGUGGUGUAGUGGUUAACAUGCCUGCCUGUCACGCAGGAGAUCGCCGGUUCGACCCCGGUCGGGACCGCCAUUUUAUAUAAAGAAAAGAACGAAACAAGUUGUUUCGUAUUUUUUUAUUUGUUUUAACAAAAAACUAAUAAAGACAGUCAAACUAUCCUUAGGACAACUCCUAAGGACUUUUUUAUAUAUUCAAAACCUGUAUAAUAAAGAGCAGAGAACAUUGUGAGUAAAGUAGGUGAAGUCUGUGAGUAAAUAUGAAGUAACAACAAAAUCUUCUGAGGAAACACAAAGAUUAUCAGAAAAACUAGGUGAACUCGUAGAGGCACAAGAUGUAAUUAUUUUAGAAGGAGAUCUUGGAGCUGGUAAGACGACUUUUACAAAGGGACUAGCAAAAGGUCUUGGAGUGAAAAGAGUUGUAAAUAGUCCUACCUUUAAUAUUAUUAAAGAAUAUAAAGGAAGAUUACCGCUAUAUCAUAUGGACGUGUAUCGCUUAGCAGAAAGCGAAGAGGACUUAGGCUUUGAUGAGUAUUUCUACGGUGAAGGAAUUACGGUAGUGGAAUGGGCUCAUUUAAUAGAAGCAUAUUUACCGAAUGAAAAGUUACAAAUUAGUUUAUUCCAUGCGGGAGAUGACACAAGAAAAAUUAUACUCGAGCCAAUUGGAGAUCGCUAUAUUAGAUUAUGUGAGGAGCUAUUACAAGAUGAAAGUACUAGCAAUUGAUACUUCAAAUUACGUAAUGGGUGUAUCCCUUAUUGAGGAAGGAAAAGUGAUUGGGGAAAUCAUUACAAAUUUGACGAAAAACCAUUCUGUACGUCUUAUGCCAGCUGUAGAGCAACUGUUAAAAGAAUGUGGUGUAAAACCGAAGGAAUUAACUAAAAUCGUUGUAGCUGCUGGACCUGGAUCAUAUACAGGUGUUCGCAUAGGCGUGACAGCGGCAAAAACAUUAGCUUGGUCACUUCAAAUACCAAUUGUAGGUGUAUCAAGUUUAGAGGUAGUAGCUGCAAACGGUGCUAACUUUAAUGGAUUAAUUUGUCCUUUAUUUGAUGGAAGGCGUGGGCAAAUCUAUACUGGAUUAUAUACAUACGAAGGAGAGCAGUUAACUUCAAUAGAAGAAGACCGAAUUAUUCUUAUUGUAGACUGGUUGCAAAUGUUAAAAGAUAAAGGACAGCCUGUUUUAUUUAUCGGUAAUGAUGUUAAAUUGCAUAAAGAAACAAUUAUAGAAUAUUUAGGUGAUCAAGCUGUAUUCGCUCCUUUUACUAAAAAUAAUCCAAGACCAAGUGAGCUAGCAUUUUUAGGAUUACAAAAAGAAGAACAUGAUGUGCAUACGUUUGUUCCGAGCUAUCUUCGUUUAGCUGAAGCUGAAACAAAGUGGUUAGAAAGUCAAAACAAGUAGGGGCCUUGCAGAAGAUGGAUAUGAUAUUUAGAAAGAUGGAACUUGAUGAUAUUGCUCAAAUUGUAGCUAUUGAAGAAGUAUCUUUUUCAACUCCUUGGACUGCAGAUGCUUUUCACCGUGAAUUAACGAUGAAUGAACAUGCACAUUAUAUUGUGUUAGAAAAAGAUGGUCGUGUAAUCGGGUAUUGUGGAUUGUGGAUAAUUAUUGAUGAAUCACAUAUAACAAAUAUAGCUAUUUUGCCAGAAUACCGAGGUCAAAAGUUAGGAGAUGCCUUAUUGAAAGCAGUUAUUUCAGAAGCGAAAGAACUAGGGGUAAAAACAAUGACGCUUGAAGUACGUGUAUCAAAUGAAGUAGCAAAGCAGUUAUACAAAAAAUAUGGAUUUCAAAAUGGUGGAAUUCGUAAACGAUACUAUGCAGACAAUCAGGAAGAUGGUCUUGUAAUGUGGGUGAAUAUAUAAUGGAAAAAAAUACGAUUAUACUUGGGAUUGAAACGAGCUGUGAUGAAACAGCGGUAGCGGUUGUUAAAAAUGGGACGGAAAUUAUUGCGAAUGUCGUUGCAUCACAAAUUGAAAGUCAUAAACGUUUUGGCGGCGUUGUACCAGAGAUUGCAUCCCGUCAUCAUGUAGAAGAAAUUACAGUUGUGUUAGAAGAAGCUUUAAAAGAAGCAAACAUAACAUU
rnacentral:rRNA from 1 species